rnacentral:rRNA from 1 species
GAUUGAACGCUGGCGGCAUGCCUUACACAUGCAAGUCGAACGGCAGCAUGAUCUAGCUUGCUAGAUUGAUGGCGAGUGGCGAACGGGUGAGUAAUACAUCGGAACGUGCCCUGUAGUGGGGGAUAACUAGUCGAAAGAUUAGCUAAUACCGCAUACGACCUGAGGGUGAAAGUGGGGGACCGCAAGGCCUCAUGCUAUAGGAGCGGCCGAUGUCUGAUUAGCUAGUUGGUGAGGUAAAGGCUCACCAAGGCGACGAUCAGUAGCUGGUCUGAGAGGACGAUCAGCCACACUGGGACUGAGACACGGCCCAGACUCCUACGGGAGGCAGCAGUGGGGAAUUUUGGACAAUGGGGGCAACCCUGAUCCAGCAAUGCCGCGUGUGUGAAGAAGGCCUUCGGGUUGUAAAGCACUUUUGUCCGGAAAGAAAUCGCACUUACUAAUAUUAGGUGUGGAUGACGGUACCGGAAGAAUAAGGACCGGCUAACUACGUGCCAGCAGCCGCGGUAAUACGUAGGGUCCAAGCGUUAAUCGGAAUUACUGGGCGUAAAGCGUGCGCAGGCGGUUGUGCAAGACCGAUGUGAAAUCCCCGGGCUUAACCUGGGAAUUGCAUUGGUGACUGCACGGCUAGAGUGUGUCAGAGGGGGGUAGAAUUCCACGUGUAGCAGUGAAAUGCGUAGAGAUGUGGAGGAAUACCGAUGGCGAAGGCAGCCCCCUGGGAUAACACUGACGCUCAUGCACGAAAGCGUGGGGAGCAAACAGGAUUAGAUACCCUGGUAGUCCACGCCCUAAACGAUGUCAACUAGUUGUUGGGGAUUCAUUUCCUUAGUAACGUAGCUAACGCGUGAAGUUGACCGCCUGGGGAGUACGGUCGCAAGAUUAAAACUCAAAGGAAUUGACGGGGACCCGCACAAGCGGUGGAUGAUGUGGAUUAAUUCGAUGCAACGCGAAAAACCUUACCUACCCUUGACAUGCCACUAACGAAGCAGAGAUGCAUUAGGUGCUCGAAAGAGAAAGUGGACACAGGUGCUGCAUGGCUGUCGUCAGCUCGUGUCGUGAGAUGUUGGGUUAAGUCCCGCAACGAGCGCAACCCUUGUCUCUAGUUGCUACGAAAGGGCACUCUAGAGAGACUGCCGGUGACAAACCGGAGGAAGGUGGGGAUGACGUCAAGUCCUCAUGGCCCUUAUGGGUAGGGCUUCACACGUCAUACAAUGGUGCAUACAGAGGGUUGCCAAGCCGCGAGGUGGAGCUAAUCCCAGAAAAUGCAUCGUAGUCCGGAUCGUAGUCUGCAACUCGACUACGUGAAGCUGGAAUCGCUAGUAAUCGCGGAUCAGCAUGCCGCGGUGAAUACGUUCCUGGGUCUUGUACACACCGC